UGCCGGGUCGUCUAAUGGUAGGACACAUUCCUCUGGAGAAUGGUAUCGGGGUUCGAGUCCCUGCCCGGCAGCCA
rnacentral:tRNA from 1 species